rnacentral:rRNA from 3 species
GUGUGAACUGCAGGACACAUGAACAUCGACAUUUUGAACGCACAUUGCGGUCCAUGCUA